UUUUUAUUCAGUUUCAAAAGGUCCCGUUUUGUUACAAAGCGCCUUACAUACAUGUAAUAAAGUGCAUAUUAUAUAGUUAAACACCAUUGACUUUCUUUUUUGAGUGUGUAAGUGUUCCUUAUAAGGCUACUACUAAAUCAUAAAAAGUGCUUCGUGCGUACUUUAAGUGUAUUUUCUCUUUCAUUGUCCAUACCGAUCUCGAAAAGAAAUCAAAAUCUGACGACAUACUUAGUAAAAUACAUUGUACCAUUGUAUGAUACUUGUAUACGACUUUCAUUCUUUUGAAAGUGUGUACAUGUACACUAAACAAUUAAAAAGUGUGCCUGAUUGC
rnacentral:lncRNA from 1 species